rnacentral:lncRNA from 1 species
CUUGGAUGUGCCCUCUCGUACACAUCCAAGUGGGAGUAGGAAGGCUGGUUUGCAUGGAGGAGCGGAAGCAGGGAUGGGCAUCUGUCAAGAUUAUUUUGUGGUCCUGUUGUGCGUUUUAAACUUGGGGAAAAUCACCAAGCAGGUGAUAUCUCACUCCCUGCCCUGCCUGCACGACUCACUGCGCUGCAAUACUUCUGGCAACAGGAACCUUUAGCUCAAGGGCCCUCGAGAGAGGAAAGUUGUGUGUGCGUGUGACCUUUCCCUUCUGCGGGUAAUGUGAAGUCUCACUCUGGGUCUGCUGCCUAAAUACAGGGUGUCUUCUUAAUGACUGGAGAAUCGCGUUGUCAUGAAUGAGGAGCCAGAGUUUAGCGGCACCACAGGGGAGAAGGUUUAGGCUUCCGCAAACUCGUUUGCAGGUGUUCCAAAUAUCUAAAAAAACUAAGUGUGGAGCUUCUCUGAGUGCUGCCAGCCUGGUCCCCCUUCCCCACCCUGCAGAGUCCCUGAGGAGCUCGUGGAAACCGAUGGCCUCAUUCAUCCGUGUAAUCUUUGGUCCUGCUCCUGAGUUCUGUCCUGACCACUUCGCUCUCCCAAAGAGUUGUCUGUUACUGGCUGCCACGUCCCUUGAAAUUCUGGAAAUUCUGUUGCUCGGUCCAAUGAACACAGAUCACAUUGACAGUAGACACCCAAGACUCCAAGAUGGCAUCAGUCAUGCCAGUGAAGAAGGAACUCAAGUUGCCAAACCAAGGGAGCUGCCAACCUGGAUACUGAUGUGGAAUUUCACCCCUAACGGCAUUGUUGGAGCAUUUCAAAGAGGUUACUUACCACCGGUCUCACAACCAGUACGUCAGUGUGAACAAAGGGAGCAUUGCUGGCGUUUCUAUGGUGCCGGCGGACCUGUCUUUCAACUACUGCUUUCCUUACACAGAACUCACGUGUGCCCAGCCACGCACAGACCACCGCAGAGAGUGUGGAGGGUGCACUCUGUAAUCCUGACCAUCUUUGCUCAGCACCCCUGAAUCCUUUCAUAUCCUAAUUGAGAAUUAACACCCAAUAAAGAAAUACUGGCUAAAAAACA